rnacentral:rRNA from 1 species
UACGUAGGGUGCAAGCGUUGUCCGGAAUUAUUGGGCGUAAAGAGCUCGUAGGCGGUUUGUCGCGUCUGCUGUGAAAUCCCGAGGCUCAACCUCGGGUCUGCAGUGGGUACGGGCAGACUAGAGUGCGGUAGGGGAGAUUGGAAUUCCCGGUGUAGCGGUGGAAUGCGCAGAUAUCAGGAGGAACACCGGUGGCGAAGGCGGUUCUCUGGGAAUAUCCUGACGCUGAGGAGCGAAAGUGUGGGGAGCGAACAGG